rnacentral:piRNA from 1 species
UGGGCCAGAAGGCUGAAGACUUGUGCUCAC